GAGCGGUGUGGAGCGGAGAGAACACUCGGAGGGCUCUCCUGAUACUAACAGUUUUACCAUUUAAAACCUCGCCAGAAUUUCGACAGGGUCUCACUGUAUUGCCCAGGUUGGUCUCGAACUCCUGGCUUCAAGCGAUCCUCCCACUUCAGCCUCCCAAAGUGCUGGGAUUACAGGCGUGAGCCACCACGCCUGGCCUCACUCAAACAGUAGACGAGGAAAGUCCACACUUCUUUGAAGUGCCACUUGAAUUUCCUGAAGGAAUGUUUGCUUCAAGAAGCCUUGUCUGCUUUAUCACUUUGAGGUUGUUCACUAAGUCAACUGCAAAGGCCCAUAAACUUGGAGAUUCGACAACUUCCAAAAAAAUUUAAAGAAUGAAGAAUUGGCUGUUUUAUUUACCAUUUAGAAUUUUGAUUGUGUUAAAAUUUCAUUAAUAUUUCUACAUCAUAUGAACUACUGGAUUAAACUGUGUCCCACAAGAAGGAAUUCAUAGGGCGAUCAUAUAUUAUCAUAAAUUUUGCACAGAAAUCAAGCACUUGGGAAUAAGGAAGGGUGUCCCUAACAUUGGUAAUGAGCAUAGACUUUGGAGUCAUAGCUGGGUUUGAAUUCCUAUUUUGUCACUGUAUGGGCUGUUUUCCUCUUUACUAAUAUUUAAAGGAGCUGGCACAUGAUUUUUUUUUUUUUGGUGCCAUGGCUCUGGUAUGAACUGUGCACAUAAUUUUGGUAAUCAAAAUUUCUGGGAAGAAAAUUCACCUAUAACUCCACUACCUCAACAAAUCAAAUUGUUUGGUUUUUAGAGAUUUUCCUUCAGCCCUUGACCAUGAGUAUCUAUCAUGUAAAUGUAAUGACAUUUUUGGAAAAAGUCAAAUUUUAAAACAUUGGUGUCUUCUGGGGUUUUGAUUAUAUAAAUGAAGCUGUCUGGUUUUGCCUUUAAUAGUUCAAAUAAUAAUUAUUUAUAGUUUUUGAGGACUUCUUUUGUGCCCCUGUGGUUGCCAGUACUGCACAUUAUCUCAUUUGAUCUUCACACUGCCUCUUUCAUCUAAGUACUAUUAUUCCAUUUUGUAAUUAAGAAAACCAAGGAAAAAAUUAGCCGGGGGCUGGGUGCAGUGGCUCACGCCUAUAGUCCCAGCACUUUGGGAGGCCAAGGGGGGUGGAUCACUUGAGGUCAGGAGUUUGAGACCAACCUGGCCAACAUGGUGAAACCCCGUCUCUACUAAAAAUACAAAGAAAUUAGCUGGGCAUGGUGGCGGGCACCUGUAAUCCCAGCUUCUCGGGAGGCUUGAGGCAGGAGAAUCAUUUGAACCUGGGAGGCGGAGGUUACAGUGAGCUGAGUUCGCGCCAUUGCACUCCAGCCUGGGCGACAGAGUGAGACUCCAUCUCAGAAACAAAACAAAAAAACAAAGAAAACCAAGGGCAUAGAGAGAGAGAAACACCAAGUCAGAAGCUGGAGCAGUCGUUCAGGUCUAGGCAGUCUGACCUUAGAGGAUAGUGCUAUAUUGGGUUCUAUAUUUGUAGAUUUGCUUUAUGAAUGUUAGGUCAUAUUUGUAUAUUGGAGUUGAUCCUGGAGGCUGACUUAUAACUUUCUUUGUAUAAAAGUAACAAUAUUUACAGUUUUUUGUUUGUUUGUUUUUUGAGAUAGGAUCUCUCUCUUAUCCAGGCUGGAGUGCAGUGGCACAAUCACGGCUCACUGCAUCCUUGACCUCCCAGUCUCAAGUGAUCCUCCCACCUCAGCCUUCCAAGUAGCUGAGACUAUAGGCACACAUCACCAUACCUAACUAAUUUUUGUAUUUUUUGUAUGAACAAGGUCUCGAUAUGUUGCCUAGGCUGGUCUCUGAACCGUUGGGCUCAAGCAGUCCUCUCCUGCCUGAACCUCCUGAAGGGCUGGGAUUAUAGGCAUGAGCCACCAUACCUGACUACAGUGUAUUUUGAAGUACUGUAUAAAGGUACUUUAUAACUAUUUUUUUUCUUUUAUUUUGUUUUUAUCUUUUUUUUUUUUUUUUGAGACAGGGACUUGCUGUGUUGCCCAGGCUGGAGUAUAGUGGCACUAUCAUGGCUUACUGCAAACUUGAACUCCUGGGCUCAAGCGAUCCUCCCACCUCAGUCUCCCAGAUAACUGAGACUGCAGGCACACACUGCCACACCCAGCUACUUUAUAGUGAACACCAGAGUCAUCUGGCAAAUCUGUUAAAACAUAAAUUCCUGCAGGAGGCUUUCAGAGAUUCUGGUCUAGUGGGUCUAGGUUGGAGCCUGAAUUUGUACUUUUAGCAAGCUCCCAGGUAAUGCUAAUGAUUCCCAGCUAAUGAGUUUAAUAUAGUAAGGAAACAAACACUUGUUGUCCAUAUCGUUGGCUUGAUAGUUAUACCCCAGUAGCACUGAGCAUUCAGAUCUUGGUUUUUAAAGGAACUAGGACUUUUUAGAGAAGUGGCUGAUUUCAGUGCGGGGGCAGAGAAAAUACAAGAUGAGCCUGAAACAUCUUGUGGUGCUUAAAAGUAAGGAAAUGCUAGAAAAAGUUAGGGACCUUGUCAAAAGGACCCAAGAGCCAACUUGAAGGAGUUCCUGGUAUCCAGGUUGGAACAAUUCGAGCAAUAAAAUGAAUAAUGAUAGUAUUGGACUUUAACCCAUAAAAUAAAAUGAGUUCAUACUGAUAUUGCUGAGUGAAUAAAUAAGUAGAGGAGAAGGGACAACUCUUUCUAACAGAAGAAUUCCGUUUAAU
rnacentral:sRNA from 1 species